rnacentral:rRNA from 1 species
GGGUCCUACGGGACGCAGCAGUGGGGAAUAUUGCACAAUGAGGGAAACCCUGAUGCAGCGACGCCGCGUGAGUGAAGAAGUAAUUCGUUAUGUAAAUCUCUAUCAGCAGGGAAGAAAAUGACGGUACCUGAGUAAGAAGCCCCGGCUAACUACGUGCCAGCAGCCGCGGUAAUACGUAGGGGGCAAGCGUUAUCCGGAUUUACUGGGUGUAAAGGGAGCGUAGACGGCAGUGCAAGUCUGGAGUGAAAGGCG